GAACUCGGAUGUCCCGGCAGUACAUAAGCUAAAAUUGGAACGACAUAGAGAGGAUUAGCAUGGCCCCUAUACAAGGAUGACACACGAAUUCAUAAAACGGUCAUUCUUAUU
rfam:Octopus bimaculoides Scaffold7484_contig_108, whole genome shotgun sequence.